AACCUGCCCUUGACUCUGGGAUAAGCACUGGAAACGGUGUCUAAUACCGGAUACGAGCUUCAGCCGCAUGGCUAGGAGUUGGAAAGAAUUUCGGUCAAGGAUGGACUCGCGGCCUAUCAGCUAGUUGGUGAGGUAAUGGCCCACCAAGGCGACGACGGGUAGCCGGCCUGAGAGGAUGACCGGCCACACUGGGACUGAGACACGGCCCAGACUCCUACGGGAGGCAGCAGUGGGGAAUAUUGCACAAUGGGCGCAAGCCUGAUGCAGCAACGCCGCGUGAGG
rnacentral:rRNA from 1 species